AACGCACAUUGCGCCCUCUGGUAUUCCGGAGGGCAUGCCUGUUCGAGCGUCAUUACAACCCUCAAGCUUUGCUUGGUAUUGGGCCUCAGGCGUCAGCCUGUGCCUUAAAAUCAGUGGCGGUGCCACCUGGCUCUGAGCGUAGUAAAUCUCUCGCUAUAGAUGUCUGGUGGAUGCUUGCCAUAACCCCUAAUUUUUUUAUGGUUGACCUCGGAUCAGGUAGGGAUACCCGCUGAACUUAA
rnacentral:misc_RNA from 1 species